UAAUUUAUUGGAUAGGCUGAGCGGCAGUGGGAGCUGCCGGUGGUUGGCGCCUGCGGAGUUCCAGACCAUGCUGCUGUUCUGCCCCGGCUGCGGGAACGGGCUGAUCGUGGAGGAGGGACAACGCUGCCACCGCUUCGCCUGCAACAGGUGCCCCUACGUGCACAACAUCACCCGCAAGGUAACAAUCGGAAGUACCCAAAACUGAAAGAAGUGGAUGAUGUGCUUUGUGGAGCAGCUGCCUGCGAGAAUGUUGACUCUACUGCAGAGCCAUGUCCCAAAUGCGAACAUCCUCGUGCUUACUUCAUGGAGCUUCAGACCCGCUCUGCAGAUGAGCCGAUGACCACCUUCUACAAGUGCUGCAGUGCUCGGCGUGGACACCGCUGGAGGGAUUAGGGCCAGGAUGGCCCAGCUGCCUUAGCGUAUGCUUACCUUGUCCCUCGGCGUAGAUGCUUAGCUGGCAGUAUGAAUCGUGUGUCCUGAGGGUCUUUGCUGGUGUGGUGGAAAGAUAAACCUUUUGAGGUGAAGAGCUGGGGGGUCAGGAUAUGUGAUCUAUCUGCCAGUCAGAGUGGAUGAAGUCACGAAUAUCUGGGAGUUUUUCUGUGUGGGGAGGAGACAGAGACCCAUAACUAAAUACGCUCUGUUUAAAGUCCUGUUCUUUCAUCUUCCAUAUUUAUUGGCAGUUGACAUUCCCUUACUCCCAAUCAACACUCUUAAACAUUUGUACUGUUUGCAAAACUUAACCCUAAAUAUUUAACUGUUACUUGUAAACUUGUGUAAUUCAUUAUUUAUUUUAAUCA